CCUACGGGCGGCUGCAGUAGGGAAUUUUCGUCAAUGGGCGCAAGCCUGAACGAGCAAUGCCGCGUGAACGAGGAAGGUCUUCGGAUCGUAAAGUUCUGUUGAAGGGGAAAAAGAGCGGAGAGAGGAAAUGCUUUCUGAUUGAUAUUACCCUUCGAGGAAGUCACGGCUAACUACGUGCCAGCAGCCGCGGUAAUACGUAGGUGGCGAGCGUUAUCCGGAAUGAUUGGGCGUAAAGGGUGCGUAGGCGGGUUAUCAAGUCAGCGGUAAAAUCGUGGAGCUCAACUCCAUCCAGCCGUUGAAACUGAUGAUCUUGAGUGGGCGAGAAGUAUGCGGAAUGCGUGGUGUAGCGGUGAAAUGCAUAGAUAUCACGCAGAACUCCGAUUGCGAAGGCAGCAUACCGGCGCCCGACUGACGCUGAAGCACGAAAGCGUGGGUAUCGAACAGGAUUAGAUACCCCGGUAGUC
rnacentral:rRNA from 1 species